CGAUUCUGGCUCAGGAUGAACGCUGGCGGCGUGCUUAACACAUGCAAGUCGAACGAGGGUUGCUGGUUGAAGUUUCGGAUGGAAACCGGUAAUUCCUAGUGGCGGACGGGUGAGUAACGCGUGGGGAACCUGCCCCGCUCCGGGGGAUACCAGCUGGAAACGGCUGUUAAUACCGCAUAAGCGCACAGUAUCGCAUGAUGCAGUGUGAAAAACUCCGGUGGAACGGGAUGGCCCCGCGUCUGAUUAGCCAGUUGGCAGGGUAACGGCCUACCAAAGCGACGAUCAGUAGCCGGCCUGAGAGGGCGACCGGCCACAUUGGGACUGAGACACGGCCCAAACUCCUACGGGAGGCAGCAGUGGGGAAUAUUGCACAAUGGGGGAAACCCUGAUGCAAACCGACGCCGCGUGAGUGAGGAAGUAUUUCGGUAUGUAAAGCUCUAUCAGCAGGGAGGAAGAUGACGGUACCUGCACAAGAAGCCCCGGCUAACUACGUGCCAGCAGCCGC
rnacentral:rRNA from 1 species